UACGUAGGGCGCAAGCGUUAUCCGGAAUUAUUGGGCGUAAAGAGCUCGUAGGCGGUUUGUCGCGUCUGCUGUGAAAGACCGGGGCUCAACUCCGGUUCUGCAGUGGGUACGGGCAGACUAGAGUGCAGUAGGGGAGACUGGAAUUCCUGGUGUAGCGGUGAAAUGCGCAGAUAUCAGGAGGAACACCGAUGGCGAAGGCAGGUCUCUGGGCUGUAACUGACGCUGAGGAGCGAAAGCAUGGGGGAGCGAACAGG
rnacentral:rRNA from 1 species